AGCAAAGAAGCUAAAAAGCAACACUAAGGAACACCUUGGGUCUGUUUUACUCUUUCUUAAGACAGAAGGAAGGACAGAUGUAACUGUGAAAGGAGAUAAGAUGACACCAAACUGCCCAGGAGAAAAUUAAGCAGCAAAUCCAGUAUCACUCUGAGGCCAGCACUAAGCAAACCCAAGGAAAACACAUGACAGGAAUGAGAUGCUGCUGUGUCCCUGCCCUGCUGCUGUUUGCUGCCAGGCUCAGGUGCUAAAUCAGUUGCCUGGGAAACGUCAGAGCAGCGCAGGAGAUGGACAAAACAGCAAAACCUUGAACAGGGAGGGCUGACACGGGAGAAAAAUGAGUUUGCUCCUCAGAAAUGUGCAGAGACUCCAAUGCAGAGCUGGCUCUGCCUCUCUCCUCUCUCCCAGGUUCAAGUGUGCAGCUGCUGUCACUCAGAGCUACCUCUGCUGAAUAAUGUGAUCCUGCUCUCAUCCCUGCGAGGACACCAGUGCCAAGAAACCUAAGGUGUCCUGAUCAAUGCAGAAAAACAAGACCUGGCAGUUCUGCUCCUCCAGGAACAAAUUCCUUUAAAACUCAAGCCAUCAGAAGUGGAGCUUCCAUGAGGCCCAGGUAUCUCAUCCUGUGAGCACGUGGGAAGGAGGAGGAAGGCACAUGUCCCUACCUAACCCCCUGCCCCAGAGCAGGAAUGGGUGUAGCAGCCCUGCUGAGUCUCUGAGCUCACCCCAGCCGUGCUGAGCCCGUGGCUGUCAGUGAGCAGAGCAGCAGCAUCACAGGAUCUGCUGGAUGAUGACUGUUCCAAAAAUCAGGAUUCUUGGAUUGAUUCUGCAAGACUCCACACAGGCCAGUUGUGACCCAGAAAAAGAGAAAUUACUAAAGCCAAGCUUUGAAAAGUGCUUGACUUGAGGCCCAUGGCUCAUCCCACUCUAAUCAUGUCCUGCUGCUCAGCACUGCAGAGAGUCCAUCUCUUAUUAAGGUCCUUAAAGACAAAAAAAAGGAUUUAUUUCAGCAAUUGUGAGGGUCCUCUCUGGCGCUACUCCUCAGGAGGAAAACAACUACCUGGGCAAGGAGAACUCUUGCUCCUCUUGCACUAAGUGCAGAGCCUGCAGGUUUUUCCCUGGGGAGUGGGGCUGAUGGAUGGGGUCCCUGUCCUGUCACAGAAAAUCCACACAGGGACACUGUCCCCUGUCCCUGUGAGAGACACAUGAGGGAACAUCCCAAGCUUCAAGAUUCACCCCCAAGUUCCAAGAGCUGCAGCACACAUGGUGUGAAGCUCAUGGCCAACAAGCUCCGUAUCCUCCCAGAGCAAUGAGAGGUGGGCAAGCUCAGUGAGAAAAUCCAUGAGGCAUGAAUAUGAAAAUACAGAGCCGGAACUGCUAACAUCCAUGAGAGAUUGUCAUGAAUUCUCUGAAUAAUUUGGCUGAGCAAACUCCCUGAUAUUCAUGUCUUGCAUGCUGCUGGAGUCCAUUGCUCUCCCAAGGCUUUAUGGGAACACCAUUUGUCCUGCAGUAAUAGGGCAGAAAAGCUGGAGCUAAGAAUUUCACUUGCUCAAAUAAACAGGAACACAAAGGAAAGGAGCUGUGGUUGAAGUUCUGCUUCUCUUCCAUUCCCUCACCUCCAUGAGAUUCAGUUUUGCCCUUCCACAGUAUUUUCCAAAGAUGAUCAACACAGUUCUCUCUGGUGCAUGCAGCACAUUUCCCUUUUGCCCCAACCAAAGAAAAGAUCUACUUCAUACUCUGAAUCAUUUUCAAGAUGGUAUCCCAGCAACAAGCAUCCAGCAGUGUGUAUGUAAAACUGGCUCUACUUAGAUAAAUAGCAGAAAAGACUGCAGUUUCUUUCAAAGACCCAAAUGACAUUUAAAUUUUCCUUUCAGAGACACGUAGUAAACGGAAGGAAUAAAUCAGCUGAUUCAGAAAGCAGCGCCUCAGAGAUUUUUUUUGCACACUUUGUCUUGUUUGCUAUCAAUUAAAUGGAAACUCAUCUUUAAAACCUUUCUCUCCACAUUUCUAACCUCACAAUAUUACUUCAGAUAAGAUUAUUACAGUAUUUUAUACCUAUUUUGCUGACAUUCCUAGGAAUUUUAUUUAAGCCUAUGAAGGAAGGUCUCACUGAAGGGGUGUUUGAAGGUUGGCUGGGAAAGAUUUUGCUCCUCUGUUUUGGAGCUGCAGGAAGGGGCUCUGUUAAACCACUGGGGGAGCAAAUAUCAAGGAAACCUCUCAGCACAGAGCUUUGUAUGAGUCAGGGGAUCAGGAGAUGCAGGCUGUCUCUGCUACAGAAGGGUUGUGCCCCACCUCUUGGACCCCUAAGGAAGGGAUUAUCCUGCAGGAAGCUUUCCUGGGAUUAAAACCCAGUUUGAGCAGGGAGGUGGGAGCACAUGUCCCACUGUGGUUGCUCCCAGCCUCACCCAAUCUGUGACUCCAGAGUUAACUGGAAUCACCUGCUCAAGGUCAUUCCAUGGAAAAAAGCCUUCUUGAGGGCCAGGUGCCACCCUGGAAAUGCUCUGGGUUGAGGAGAGCUCCUGGAUGAGCAGGAUGCAAUGGCUGCAUCCCUGCAGCGUUAGCAGCUCCCACAGCACAUUUCCUUCAUGCACCUUUUGGAUAAGGCAGGAGGGUUUAGCCUGUCACUUAUCUCCAGCUACAGAUCACACCUCAGGCUAACACUGAAAUUGUGCAAAGGUCACCUAUCCCUAAAAUGCCCUCACAGGAUUCCUCUAGGACAGCUUGCACAAACUCUGCCCUUCCUUUGAAUCCUUUCAGGCUUCUUCUAGUGCCCCUGAUCCUAAACAACUCCAACCCAAAAGCACUCAGAGGGGUCUCAGGGACCUCAGGGUGGGAAAGCCAGAGCUGCUGCUGAGGAGCCGUCCAGAGCAAAGGCAGCACAGAGGAGAGGACACAGCAGCCAAGCCCAGCCAAGCUGGUAGGAUGUCAGGGGACAGGACGGUCAGGAUGGAUGGAGAUGAGAGAUCUCCGAGGCCAGAUCAGGA